rnacentral:misc_RNA from 1 species
GAUGAAGAACGCAGUGAAAUGCGAUACUUGGUGUGAAUUGCAGAAUCCCGUGAACCAUCGAGUCUUUGAACGCAAGUUGCGCCCGAAGCCACUAGGCCGAGGGCACGCCUGCCUGGGCGUCACACGUCGUUGCCCCCCCAUCUACUCCUUCGGGAUUGCGGGGGGGCGGAUGAUGGCCUCCCGUGCGCCUAGCCGCGCGGUUGGCAUAAAUACCAAGUCCUCGGCGACGCACGCCACGACAAUCGGUGGUUGCGAAACCUCGGUUGCCCGUCGUGUGCGUUCGUCGCGCAUCGAGGGCUCGAAAAAAUGCUCGGCUUCGGCUCGGCUUUCAACGCGACCCCAGGUCAGGCGGGGUUACCCGCUGAAUUUAAGCAUAUCAAUAAGCGGAGGA